UACGGAGGGUGCGUGCGUUAAUCGGAAUUACUGGGCGUAAAGCGCGCGUAGGCGGUUUGUUAAGUCGGAUGUGAAAGCCCCGGGCUCAACCUGGGAACUGCACCCGAUACUGGCCGACUUGAGUGCGAGAGAGGGAGGUAGAAUUACACGUGUAGCGGUGAAAUGCGUAGAUAUGUUGAGGAAUACCGGUGGCGAAGGCGGCCUCCUGGCUCGACACUGACGCUGAGGUGCGAAAGCGUGGGGAGCAAACAGG
rnacentral:rRNA from 1 species